GACGAGGGAUCCUAGCGUUGUUCGGAAUCACUGGGCGUAAAGCGUUUGUAGGCGGCUCUAUAAGUCGGGUGUGAAAUCCCACGGCUCAACCGUGGAAGUGCAUUCGAAAUUGCAGAGCUUGAAUAUGGUAGAGGAGAGUAGAAUUCCUGGUGUAGUGGUGAAAUACGUAGAUAUCAGGAGGAAUACCGGUGGCGAAGGCGGCUCUCUGGACCAAUAUUGACGCUGAGAAACGAAAGUGCGGGGAUCAAACAGG
rnacentral:rRNA from 1 species